UGAGAAGGCACAGAACCGGGACCACCCCCACCCCUGCUGGAGAGCUCCCCUCACUUCCCAGAGGACGCAAAGAAGGCGCGCCCUAGUUAUUUUCUCAGGACCCACAAGGAGGAUUUCGCAUCAAAGGAAGAGCACGUUGUCAAGGCUUUUGCUAUCCAUUGCCAAAUUUCCUUUUAGAAAGUUGUGCAAAUCCGCAACCCUACCAGCAGCGUAUGAGAAUGCUAUAAUAAAGGAUUUUGGCCAAGAUGAUGAUUAUGACAAAAGAAAAAUAAUCAAGAAGAUAAGUGUUUGCUAAAGGCUCGGCCCACGCCAGCUGUGUAUAUUUGUUGAACUCUGUCACCAUGUUCCUUGGACCAAACGCCGAAGGUCCUUUACACUCUUAGCUGAUUUAGUACCUCUUUCAACACCCUAAAACUUUCACCCAAGUCUUAUCUGAAAGAAAGGGGGUUUCUGAUAAAUACCGUUUCCAUUCUGCAAACUCAACCCAAGUGCUUCCAUCCGUCAUCUUGCGGUGGACCACCUCUGGGGUUUUAACGAUGGGCAGUUGGUCAAAAAGGGAUGCCGGCUGCCUUGGACCUGAGAACUUCAAUGCUCAUAAGAUAUAAAAGAGAUGAUUUGGGGUGAGAAAGUCAUGUUGCGAGGUACGAAGGAAAAACCAACAACGACCCAAGAGUUUAGAGUUUCAUUCUGACCUGCUCUGAUAAUAUCACUAUGGCGAUGAGCUCCAUAAACAAUUGCAAAAUAGCGAGAUGAAAAGGAACAAGCCAGUUCCACCCAGGCGAUCUGGAGUUAUUUUAGGGAUCGAGGCAAUGUCAUCUGGGGUAAAUAUGGAAUGCAAAAUCUGUUCUUUUAAUAAUCAUCCCCUUCUUUUGUGAGGCUGAACAAAGGCCUGGCAAAUCAGUCAUUUGUGCUGAAAAAAAGCACCCACCCAGGGCUUUCAGGGCUGAGGAGAAAGUGCAGCCAAAAGGAUGGAAAUAAUGGUUAAUAACAGAUGCUGGGAUUAUUCUUCUCACACCCUUGGCCUCUGAGGCUCUGCGGAGCCUGGAGUGGAGUCCAAGGGGGUGGAACAAGGGUGAUGUUCUCGGGAAGAGCUGGCCUGGUGGAGAGGCUGGGAUGGGGACCCCAGGGACCUGAGCUUGGUUGCCUGCUCCUGACCUUGAUUCUUGGGCCAGAGGCGGUGGAGGGAAGCAUCUUCAAGGCCACAUUCUGUCUCUGGGGCAUCACCAUCUGCUGCAGAUGACAUUUGCCACUCCUAUCCUCAUGCUAUUCUCUUUGAACCCCUGACUCAGCGAGCCCCAAUCCAAAAAGCAGAACUAGCUAUUUUUUGCAUCAAGAAAAAAAUGUCAGGCAAGACACUUGCUGAAUUCUCUGCUGACCCUGAAACGCUUCCUUUUGCACUUAACCCCUUGUUCUUCCCUCAUUCUCUUUGCUCCUUUCUCAUCUAGACCGCCAAAUUGCAAGUGCCACCAUCGUCUCUGGUGAAGAUCCACAGGGAAGGGGUUGUACCGCAGCCAUGGAGGCUGGCACGAUGCCUGGGACACAGAAGCUUCUCCAUAAAUGUCAGCUUAUAGGAACUGAAUUCAAAAUCCCACGCCUACCCUAAAAUGGGCAUUUCUCCA